GCGGGCAGGGCUGGGGGGGUCGGGCCGGGAGGUGGGACCGCGGCUCUGCCCGGACCCCCGGCACUGCCCGCCCCCCCCCCCCAGCCCGGCACCCCCCGUUCCAUCCCCCCCGUGUGCAGAAGCAGCUGGGCAAUGUGGGACCUCUGCAAAGCACAAGGGAUGGGGCAAGGCCCAUCCCACCCACCAGAUGGGGCACUUGUGUCAUGAACUGGUGGGUACUUGGAGGAGAAGAAACCUGCCCAGGGUACUUGUGUCAUGGAUUAGUGGGCACUUGGAGAAGAGCAUAUCUUGAUGAAAUUCACCACGAUGUCAGAGGAUCUGGAUGGUCUAGAAGUGCUGAUCAGGGAUUAGAGCCAGUCCUGUUACCACCAGUGUGGGACUCGCCGGCCUCCCCUCUUCUCUUCACUUCACUUCAUUUCACUUCACUUUGCUUCACUUCACUUCACUUCACUUCACUUCACAGUGCUCAUGGCAAGUGGUGCCCAAGCAGGGACUGAACACGACGUCCUACCAAGCACAGGACUCUGGGCUCUGCACUGGCUGCACGUAGAGAAGAGUUAAGACGUGUUUAACCCUCCAGAUGGAGGUUUUUAAAUCAGUCAGAAGACCAGGUGUGGUGGAGGCUGCGGCAGCUACGAGUGAGGGGCAGGACCAUGAUAGGGAAGAAGAUGCAUUUGAACCCCAAGACACACUGAGAGCACAAGAAAAGGAGCCCCCUGAGCACCAACCUGCAACUCCUUCUGCACCUUCAGCACCUCGAACCUCGGCUGCUCCUGUGCUGCAGGUGUUCUGGUUUGGUUGGGUGGGGUUUUUGGUAGCAGGGCCCUUCUCCCUGCUCCCAACCAGCCAAGGAGCCAUUCGAGGGACCAUGGAUGAACCUCUGCCAUUAACAUGCAAAAGAACUGAUGCAGCACCUGAGCUGAGGAGCACUUAAAGGAGAAGAGCUGGGCUGGGGAAGGAGUGCACUGCUGGUGGUUGGAGAGGAAGAAGGUGCCUAAGCAGAAGGUGCCUAAGCAGAAGUUUCCCUGCAGCCCACAGGGAGAUGGCAGCUGUGCCCCUGCACCCAUGGAGGAACAUGGUGGGACAUUCCCUGAAGGCACCAGGAGGGCUGAACUUGACCAGUGGACUUGGGUUUUGAGGCCAGUGGCCUCGGAUGGUGCAGCUGUGGAAGCCCCCGGGGCAGGGGAGGUGCCUGUUCCUGAAGCCCCCGGGACUGGAGCAGCUCCAGUGGGAAGGACUGAUGGAGGAGAGGUUGGUGGAGGACUCUGCCAUGGGAGGGACCCGUGGGGAAGCAGGGACAGACUGUCAGGAAUCCUUCUCCCUGAGGAGCAAGGAGCAGCAGGAACCACCAGCCCAUGCAGGGACCCUAAACCCCAUCCCCCUGUGCCUGGGGGGAAGGGGGGAGAGACACUGGGAACAAAAGGAUUUGGGAAGAAGGGAGAGGUGGGGUGAGGUGUGUGAGCCCUGCUCUGUGUGUCGGUGUCCCGUGGGUGUUUGCUGAGUGUGAAAUGAAAGUAUUAUUUUUUCCCCAA